rnacentral:SRP_RNA from 1 species
GCUGGGUGUGGUGGUGUGCACCUGUGGCCUCAGCUUCCUGGGAGGCUGAGGCAGGAGGAUCAUUUGAGCCCAGGAGUUUGGGGCUGCAGUGAGCUACAAACAUGUCACUGUACUCCAGCCUGGGUGACACAGUGAUAUCCUGUCUUGG